AUUGAACGCUGGCGGCAGGCCUAACACAUGCAAGUCGAGCGGCAGCACGGGUACUUGUUCCUGGUGGCGAGCGGCGGACGGGUGAGUAAUGCCUAGGACUCUGCCUCGUAGUGGGGGAUAACGUCCGGAAACGGGCCCUAAUACCGCAUACGUCCUACGGGAGAAAGUGGGGGAUCUUCGGACAUCACGCUAUUAGAUGAGCCUAGGUCGGAUUAGCUAGUUGGUGAGGUAAUGGCUCACCAAGGCGACGAUCCGUAACUGGUCUGAGAGGAUGAUCAGUCACACUGGAACUGAGACACAGUCCAGACUACUACGGGAGGCAGCAGUGGGGAAUAUUGGACAAUGGGCGAAAGCCUGAUCCAGCCAUGCCGCGUGUGUGAAGAAGGUCUUCGGAUUGUGAAGCACUUUAAGUUGGGAGGAAGGGCAGUUACCUAAUACGUGAUUGUUUUGACGUUACCGACAGAAUAAGCACCGGCUAACUCUGUGCCAGCCGCCGCCGUAAAAC
rnacentral:rRNA from 1 species